rnacentral:rRNA from 1 species
AUGGCUCAGGAUGAACGCUAGCGACAGGCCUAACACAUGCAAGUCGAGGGGCAGCGCGGGAGAAGCUUGCUUUCCUGGCGGCGACCGGCGCACGGGUGCGUAACAGGUGUGCAAUCUGUCCAUAGUCGGGGGAUAGCCCAGCGAAAGCUGAAUUAACACUCCAUGUGAAUCGAAGCCGCAUGACUUUGAUUUGAAACGUAAGGACUAUGGGUGAGCACGCUUCUGAUUAGGUAGUUGGUGGGGUAACGGCCCACCAAGCCGACGAUCAGUAGGGGUUCUGAGAGGAAGGUCCCCCACAUUGGAACUGAGACACGGUCCAAACUCCUACGGGAGGCAGCAGUGAGGAAUAUUGGUCAAUGGGCGAGAGCCUGAACCAGCCAAGUCGCGUGAAAGGAUGAAGGUUCUAUGGAUUGUAAACUUCUUUUGUCCGAGGGUAAAAAAGGCUACGUGUAGCUUCUUGCAAGUAUCGGACGAAUAAGCAUCGGCUAACUCCGUGCCAGCCGCAGC